rnacentral:rRNA from 1 species
AUUGAACGCUGGCGGCAGGCUUAACACAUGCAAGUCGAGCGGAGAGAGGUAGCUUGCUACUGAUCUUAGCGGCGGACGGGUGAGUAAUGCUUAGGAAUCUGCCUAUUAGUGGGGGACAACAUUUCGAAAGGAAUGCUAAUACCGCAUACGUCCUACGGGAGAAAGCAGGGGAUCUUCGGACCUUGCGCUAAUAGAUGAGCCUAAGUCGGAUUAGCUAGUUGGUGGGGUAAAGGCCUACCAAGGCGACGAUCUGUAGCGGGGCUGAGAGGAUGAGCCGCCACACUGGGACUGAGACACGGCCCAGGCUCGUACGGGAGGCAGCAGUGGGUAAUAUUGGACAAUGGGCGGAAGCCGGAUCCAGCCAUGCCGCGUGUGUGAAGAAUGCCUUAUGGUUGUAAAGCACUUUAAGCGAGGAGGAGGCUACUUUAGUUAAUACCUAGAGAUAGUGGACGUUACUCGCAGAAUAAGCACCGGCUAACUCUGUGCCAGCCGCCGCAGUAACAC